rnacentral:tRNA from 1 species
AGGGAUAUAGUAUAAUGGUUAGUAUCGUGGUCUCCAAAACCAUUGGUCUGGGUUCGAAUCCUAGUAUCCCUG